rnacentral:rRNA from 1 species
UACGUAGGGUGCAAGCGUUGUCCGGAAUUAUUGGGCGUAAAGAGCUCGUAGGCGGUCUGUCGCGUCUGCUGUGAAAACUCGGGGCUUAACCCCGGGCCUGCGGUCGAUACGGGCAUCACUGGAGUUCGGCAGGGGAGACUGGAAUUCCUGGUGUAGCGGUGAAAUGCGCAGAUAUCAGGAGGAACACCGGUGGCGAAGGCGGGUCUCUGGGCCGAUACUGACGCUGAGGAGCGAAAGCGUGGGGAGCGAACAGG